GAUGAACGCUAGCGGCAGGCCUAAUACAUGCAAGUCGGACGGGAUCCAUCGGAGAGCUUGCUCGAAGAUGGUGAGAGUGGCGCACGGGUGCGUAACGCGUGAGCAACCUACCUCUAUCAGGGGGAUAGCCGCUCGAAAGAGAGAUUAACACCGCAUAAUAUAAUCUUCCGGCAUCGUUAGAUUAUUAAAUAUUUAUAGGAUAGAGAUGGGCCCGCGUGACAUUAGCUAGUUGGUAAGGUAACGGCUUACCAAGGCGACGAUGUCUAGGGGCUCUGAGAGGAGAAUCCCCCACACUGGUACUGAGACACGGACCAGACUCCUACGGGAGGCAGCAGUAAGGAAUAUUGGUCAAUGGGCGGAAGCCUGAACCAGCCAUGCCGCGUGCAGGACGACUGCCCUAUGGGUUGUAAACUGCUUUUGUCCAGGAAUAAACCUAAAUACGUGUAUUUAGCUGAAUGUACUGGAAGAAUAAGGAUCGGCUAACUCCGUGCCAGCCGCCGCAGUAAGAC
rnacentral:rRNA from 1 species